rnacentral:lncRNA from 1 species
AGACUUAGUAAUUACUAGAGGAUGAUAGAUGACCAUGAUGGAGAUGAAGAAACUGAAAAUCAAGGAAGCCAAAUGACCUGGCCAUAAUAGGCCUUGUCGGAUCAUGGACCAAAACCAGAAGGAAGUACAAUUGCCAUCUCAGAUCCAUCUAAGCUUUAAUUUUAAUGGUUCCAUGACUGACUUCAUUCCCCAUUAUGAGGAAGACUGUCAACUUCAGAGGACCAGAAAAUUUGGACUUUUUUCCACU